UUCCGGUUGAUCCUGCCGGAGGUCACUGCUAUUGGGAUUCGACUAAGCCAUGCGAGUCGAGAGGGUUCGGCCCUCGGCAAACGGCUCAGUAACACGCGGAUAAUCUGCCCUUAGGUGGAGGAUAACCUCGGGAAACUGAGAAUAAUACUCCAUAGAUCUAGGAUGCUGGAAUGCACUUAGAUUGAAAGUUCCGGCGCCUAAGGAUGAGUCUGCGGACUAUCAGGUAGUAGUCAGGGUAAAGGCCUGACUAGCCUACGACGGAUACGGGUUGUAAGAGCAAUAACCCGGAGACGAUAUCUGAGACACGAUAUCGGGCCCUACGGGGCGCAGCAGGCGCGAAACCUUCACAAUGUGCGAAAGCGCGAUGAGGGGAUCCCAAGUGCUUGCUCGUAAAAGUAAGCUGUUUUUAUGUCUAAAACGCAUAGAGAGUAAGGGCUGGGUAAGACGGGCGCCAGCCGCCGCGGUAAUACCUGCAGCUCAAGUGGUGACCGCUAUUAUUGGGCCUAAAACAUUCGUAGCCGGUUUGGUAAAUGCCUGGGUAAAUCGUGUAGCUUAACUAUACGAAUUCCGGGUAGACUGCCAAACUUGAGACCGGGAGAAGCUAGAGGUACUCCUUGGGUAGAGGUGAAAUUCUGUAAUCCUAGGGGGACCACCAGUGGCGAAGGCGUCUAGCUAGAACGGGUUUGACGGUGAGGAAUGAAGCCCUGGGGCGCAAACCGGAUUAGAUACCCGGGUAGUCCAGGGUGUAAACGCUGCUUGCUUGAUGUUAGUUGGGCUCCGAGCCCAAUUAGUGUCGGAGAGAAGUUGUUAAGCAAGCUGCCUGGGAAGUACGAUCGCAAGAUUGAAACUUAAAGGAAUUGG
rnacentral:rRNA from 1 species